UGAAUUACUCGUAACGGAGGAAGCCCUUCGGGGCAGGAAGACAGGUGGUGCAUGGUUGUCGUCAGCUCGUGUCGUGAGAUGUUGGGUUAAGUCCCGCAACGAGCGCAACCCUUAUUGUUAGUUGCUACCAUUAAGUUGAGCACUCUAGCAAGACUGCCGCGGUUAACGCGGAGGAAGGUGGGGAUGACGUCAAAUCAUCAUGCCCCUUAUGUCUAGGGCUACACACGUGCUACAAUGGGGAGUACAAAAAGACGCAAGGCCGUGAGGCGGAGCAAAACUUAUAAAACUUCCCCCAGUUCGGAUUGUAGGCUGAAACUCGCCUACAUGAAGCUGGAGUUGCUAGUAAUCGCGAAUCAGAAUGUCGCGGUGAAUACGUUCCCGGGCCUUGUACACACCGCCCGUCACACCAUGAGAGUUGCCAACACCCGAAGUCCAUAGUCUAACCGUAAGGGGGACGUGGCCGAAGGUGGGGGUAGCGAUUGGGGUGAAGUCGUAACAAGGUAGCCGUAGGAGAACCUGCGGCU
rnacentral:rRNA from 1 species